rnacentral:rRNA from 1 species
UACGUAGGGUGCAAGCGUUGUCCGGAAUGAUUGGGCGUAAAGCGUCUGUAGGUGGCUUUUCAAGUCCGCCGUCAAAUCCCAGGGCUCAACCCUGGACAGGCGGUGGAAACUACCAAGCUGGAGUACGGUAGGGGCAGAGGGAAUUUCCGGUGGAGCGGUGAAAUGCAUUGAGAUCGGAAAGAACACCAACGGCGAAAGCACUUUGCUGGGCCGACAUUGACACUGAGAGACGAAAGCUAGGGGAGCAAAUGGG